AGCUGUAAACCGCUUAUAAUUUUAUAAAUGACGUUCAGUUUAUUGCAAAUAAAAAUCGAUUCGCUUCAAAAGACGUUAAGGUGUGACCAGGAACUGUGGGGAUCAUGCUUGUGUUGGAUGCAUGUGCUUUUAGAACUCUAGAACGCAUAGACCCCAUUUACAUCCUGUAUAUGAAGCACAGAGAGCUGCGGAUUUACCUAAAAAUCUUCUUUAUUGUUCUACUCUAAAAUGUCACCUACAUCUUGGAUGGCCUGAGGACACCUGAGUUCAAGGCAAGCACCUUUCCUAUAAAAACACACUGGAUCCCGCUGCAGCCGAAGUCAAUGAGGUCACAAACCACUUAGAAAACGAGUGGAGAGACUAGAGAUGUUUCCAGUUUACAGAGCAGAGGGUGGGCACAGUGUCGGGCAGCAGGCUGACCUCCCACCUGCGACUCUGACCUUUGCCCCUCGCAGCUCUCGGAGAGAGCCGGAACACCUGAUGACCUGACCUCUGUGCGAGUAGCGUGACAGACUGUGGCGUUGUGAUUACGGUAGAAGCAGAAGGGAGCAGCUGAGGUCUAUUUGAUCUCUUGAGAGCAAAUGUAUAGCACAUACAUGCUUUGACUCUCAUUAAAUCUAGGCAUGGGGCGCCCUCUGCAGGUCAGAAAAAAUGAACAUCUGAAUAUGAGUAAAAAGAAUAUGAGAGGAAAAGGGUAUAGGGAGGGUAUGGCAUUUAUGAUUUAGGUUUGAAAUUAAUAAAAUAAGAUAAUGAAUGUGGGAAGAACAGGUGGAGAAAAUAAAAUAAUAAUAAUAAUAAUAUGCUUUGAUAAUAUGUUGUGCAUCUUUCAAUAACCCAAAAUUAUAAAAAUGACUACAGUACCACU